UUUACAUCAAAAAACGAGCCCAAAAUUCCUUCAUCAAUGCAGCCCAUGUUUCCACCCAAACGGCCCUAAUCGCCUGAUAUUCAGUCAAAAAUAUAACCAGCUACCAAAGGCUUUACCCAAAUCCUAGAUACAAACAGCCACAUCUUCUUCUUUCCUCUUCUCCCUUAUUCCAUUUCUAGAUAAACAACGAGGUCUUCAAUCAUGGAAGAGGUUGUCUUCUCCAUUUCGUGCUAUUGUCAUCUCAAUCAUUUGAAGAUCCAACUAACCUCAAAUGUUCAAAUUUGAGUCCUUUGACCAAAAUUCCAAACCUCAAGCUCUAAUUCCAGCUCAAGAAACCCUAAUUUAUGGCUAUAAAUACUUGGUUAAACUUUAGCCUCAUCAAAUUUAUAGCCGCCUCCUUCACCCAAAAUCUUGAUAAUUUUUUUUUUUUAGUUUCUUUAGCUUUGUUCUUCCCUGUUGGCACCAGCCACAACAGAGACUUUGCAUUUCAACUCACUCGAGUCAGUCUCCCUUUGAUUCACAAAAAAGGUAUACAUCUGAGGCUCAAAGACCCCUUAGUUUGCUGCACCACAAAAGCCGAGGGUCUUUCGGAAACAACCGCUCUACCUUUCAAGGUGGGGGUUAGGUCUGCGUACACUCUACCCUCCCCAGACCCCACAUUAUGGGAUUAUACUGGGUUUGUUGUUGUUGUUGUCUGCAUGAGCACAUUGGAGCCCACAAGGAGUCUCCAUUGAGACUCGAUGGGCUGCUAGACUUGAGACGUGCAUCUUCUUUUCAUUCUCUUUGUCUCUCUCCCUUGCAAUAGUUCCGAACAAAAGCAAAAUCAAGAAGCAUGAAGAAAUCUAGAGUCUACUUUCGUCUUCUUCAUUCACUCUUCUCCUUCUUUUGUAAUACCUAUGAAAAUAGGGGAAGAAGACAAAAAGAUUGUUGUGUUUGUCUUUUAGAUAUCUUAUAAUUUAUUAAUUGUUAUGUGUUUCUUA